GACGAACGCUGGCGGCGUGCUUAACACAUGCAAGUCGAGCGAUGAAGCCUUAGCUUGCUUUGGUGGAUUAGUGGCGAACGGGUGAGUAACACGUGAGCAACGUGCCCAGGACUCUGGAAUAACCGCGGGAAACCGUGGCUAAUACCGGAUAGGUGCCGAGGCCGCAUGGUCUUCGGUUGGAAAGUUUUUGCGGUUCUGGAUCGGCUCACGGCCUAUCAGCUUGUUGGUGGGGUAAUGGCCUACCAAGGCGACGACGGGUAGCCGGCCUGAGAGGGUGACCGGCCACACUGGGACUGAGACACGGCCCAGACUCCUACGGGAGGCAGCAGUGGGGAAUAUUGCACAAUGGGCGCAAGCCUGAUGCAGCAACGCCGCGUGGGGGAUGACGGCCUUCGGGUUGUAAACCUCUUUUAGUAGGGAAGAAGCGCAAGUGACGGUACCUGCAGAAAAAGCACCGGCUAACUACGUG
rnacentral:rRNA from 1 species